AGAGCGAACGCUGGCGGCAGGCCUAACACAUGCAAGUCGAGCGCCCGUAGCAAUACGGGAGCGGCAGACGGGAUAGUAACACGUGGGAACGCGCCCUUCGGUUCGGAAUAACUCAGGGAAACUUGAGCUAAUACCGGAUACGCCCUUACGGGGAAAGAUUUAUUGCCGAAGGAACGGCCCGCGUCCGAUUAGCUAGUUGGUGAGGUAAUGGCUCACCAAGGCGACGAUCGGUAGCUGGUCUGAGAGGAUGACCAGCAUCACUGGGACUGAGACACGGCCCAGACUCCUACGGGAGGCAGCAGUGGGGAAUAUUGGACAAUGGGCGCAAACCUGAUCCAGCCAUGCCGCGUGGAUGAUGAAGGCCUUAGGGUUGUAAAGUCCUUUUAACGGGGAAGAUAAUGACGGUACCCGUAGAAUAAGCCCCGGCUAACUUCGUGCCAGCAGCCGC
rnacentral:rRNA from 1 species